UAGGGAAUCUUCGNUAAUGGACGGAAGUCUGACCGAGCAACGCCGCGUGAGUGAAGAAGGUUUUCGGAUCGUAAAGCUCUGUUGUAAGAGAAGAACGAGUGUGAGAGUGGAAAGUUCACACUGUGACGGUAUCUUACCAGAAAGGGACGGCUAACUACGUGCCAGCAGCCGCGGUAAUACGUAGGUCCCGAGCGUUGUCCGGAUUUAUUGGGCGUAAAGCGAGCGCAGGCGGUUAGAUAAGUCUGAAGUUAAAGGCUGUGGCUUAACCAUAGUACGCUUUGGAAACUGUUUAACUUGAGUGCAAGAGGGGAGAGUGGAAUUCCAUGUGUAGCGGUGAAAUGCGUAGAUAUAUGGAGGAACACCGGUGGCGAAAGCGGCUCUCUGGCUUGUAACUGACGCUGAGGCUCGAAAGCGUGGGGAGCAGACAGGAUUAGAUACCCUGGUAGUCCACGCCGUAAACGAUGAGUGCUAGGUGUUAGACCCUUUCCGGGGUUUAGUGCCGCAGCUAACGCAUUAAGCACUCCGCCUGGGGAGUACGACCGCAAGGUUG
rnacentral:rRNA from 1 species